AGAAUUUGCCUGGCGGCACUAGCGCGGUGGUCCCACCUGACCCCAUGCCGAACUCAGAAGUGAAACGCCGUAGCGCCGAUGGUAGUGUGGGGUCUCCCCAUGUGAGAGUAGGGAACUGCCAGGC
rnacentral:rRNA from 2 species